rnacentral:rRNA from 1 species
AGUCGAGCGAACGGACGAGUAGCUUGCUUCUCUGAUGUUAGCGGCGGACGGGUGAGUAACACGUGGAUAACCUACCUAUAAGACUGGGAUAACUUCGGGAAACCGGAGCUAAUACCGGAUAAUAUUUUGAACCGCAUGGUUCAAAAGUGAAAGACGGUCUUGCUGUCACUUAUAGAUGGAUCCGCGCUGCAUUAGCUAGUUGGUAAGGUAACGGCUUACCAAGGCAACGAUGCAUAGCCGACCUGAGAGGGUGAUCGGCCACACUGGAACUGAGACACGGUCCAGACUCCUACGGGAGGCAGCAGUAGGGAAUCUUCCGCAAUGGGCGAAAGCCUGACGGAGCAACGCCGCGUGAGUGAUGAAGGUCUUCGGAUCGUAAAACUCUGUUAUUAGGGAAGAACAUAUGUGUAAGUAACUGUGCACAUCUUGACGGUACCUAAUCAGAAAGCCACGGCUAACUACGUGCCAGCAGCCGCGGUAAUACGUAGGUGGCAAGCGUUAUCCGGAAUUAUUGGGCGUAAAGCGCGCGUAGGCGGUUUUUUAAGUCUGAUGUGAAAGCCCACGGCUCAACCGUGGAGGGUCAUUGGAAACUGGAAAACUUGAGUGCAGAAGAGGAAAGUGGAAUUCCAUGUGUAGCGGUGAAAUGCGCAGAGAUAUGGAGGAACACCAGUGGCGAAGGCGACUUUCUGGUCUGUAACUGACGCUGAUGUGCGAAAGCGUGGGGAUCAAA